rnacentral:rRNA from 1 species
AUUGAACGCUAGCGGGAUGCUUUACACAUGCAAGUCGAACGGCAGCGCGGACUUCGGCCUGGCGGCGAGUGGCGAACGGGUGAGUAAUGUAUCGGAACGUGCCCAGUAGCGGGGGAUAACUACGCGAAAGCGUAGCUAAUACCGCAUACGCCCUACGGGGGAAAGCCGGGGAUCGUAAGACCUUGCACUAUUUGAGCGGCCGAUAUCGGAUUAGCUAGUUGGUGAGGUAACGGCUUACCAAGGCGACGAUCCGUAGCUGGUUUGAGAGGACGACCAGCCACACUGGGACUGAGACACGGCCCAGACUCCUACGGGAGGCAGCAGUUGGGAAUUUUGGACAAUGGGGGCAACCCUGAUCCAGCCAUCCCGCGUGUGCGAUGAAGGCCUUCGGGUUGUAAAGCACUUUUGGCAGGAAAGAAACGUCGCGGGCUAAUACCCCGUGGAACUGACGGUACCUGCAGAGUAAGCACCGGCUAACUACGUG